rnacentral:rRNA from 1 species
AUACGGAGGAUCCGAGCGUUAUCCGGAUUUAUUGGGUUUAAAGGGUGCGCAGGCGGCCAUUUAAGUCAGCGGUUAAAUCGUGGGGCUCAACCCCAUUCUGCCGUUGAUACUGGGUGGCUUGAUUGCGGUCGAGGUUGGCGGAAUUCGUUGUGUAGCGGUGAAAUGCAUAGAUAUGACGAAGAACACCGAUUGCGUAGGCAGCUGACCAGACCGCAAAUGACGCUCAUGCGCGAAAGUGCGGGGAUCGAACAGGAUUAGAUACCCUGGUAGUCCGCACAGUAAACGAUGAAUACUUGUUUUCGGCGAUAUAAUGUCGGAGGCAAAGCGAAAGCGAUAAGUAUUCCACCUGGGGAGUACGCCGGCAACGGUGAAACUUAAAGGAAUUGACGGGG